AUUGAACGCUGGCGGCAGGCCUAACACAUGCAAGUCGAGCGGAUGAAGGGAGCUUGCUCCUGGAUUCAGCGGCGGACGGGUGAGUAAUGCCUAGGAAUCUGCCUGGUAGUGGGGGAUAACGUCCGGAAACGGGCGCUAAUACCGCAUACGUCCUGAGGGAGAAAGUGGGGGAUCUUCGGACCUCACGCUAUCAGAUGAGCCUAGGUCGGAUUAGCUAGUUGGUGGGGUAAAGGCCUACCAAGGCGACGAUCCGUAACUGGUCUGAGAGGAUGAUCAGUCACACUGGAACGGAGACACGGUCAAGACUCCUACGGGAGGCAGCAGUGGGGAAUAUUGGACAAUGGGCGAAAGCCUGAUCCAGCCAUGCCGCGUGUGUGAAGAAGGUCUUCGGAUUGUAAAGCACUUUAAGUUGGGAGGAAGGGCAGUAAGUUAAUACCUUGCUGUUUUGACGUUACCAACAGAAUAAGCACCGGCUAACUUCGUG
rnacentral:rRNA from 1 species